AGCGGGUCCACCAGACCCACGAACACUGGCUGAAUAACACAAAUAUGAACACCACACAAGGGUUAAAUUGAUGUUU